CCUACGGGCGGCAGCAGUGGGGAAUAUUGCACAAUGGGGGAAACCCUGAUGCAGCGACGCAGCGUGCGUGAAGAAGUAUUUCGGUAUGUAAAGCUCUAUCAGCAGGGGAGACAAUGACGUUACGUGAAUAAGAAGCCCCGUAUAACUACGUGCCAGCAGCCGCGGUAAUACGUCGGGGGCAAGCGUUAUCCGGAUUUACUGGGUGUAAAGGGAGCGUAUACGGUGAUGCAAGUCAGAAGGGAAAUCGCGGGGCGCAACUCCGGGACUGCUUUUGAAACUGUGUGACUGGAGUGCAGGAGAGGUAAGCGGAAUUCCUGGUGUAGCGGUGAAAUGCGUAGAUAUCAGGAGGAACACCAGUGGCGAAGGCGGCUUACUGGACUGUAACUGACGUUGAGGCUCGAAAGCGUGGGGAGCAAACAGGAUUAGAUACCCCAGUAGUC
rnacentral:rRNA from 1 species